rnacentral:rRNA from 1 species
AACGAACGCUGGCGGCAUGCCUAACACAUGCAAGUCGAACGAGACCUUCGUGUCUAGUGGCGCACGGGUGCGUAACGCGUGGGAACCUGCCCUUAGGUUCGGAAUAACUCCCCGAAAGGGGUGCUAAUACCGGAUAAUGUCUUCGGACCAAAGAUUUAUCGCCUUUGGAUGGGCCCGCGUUGGAUUAGCUAGUUGGUAGGGUAAAAGCCUACCAAGGCGACGAUCCAUAGCUGGUCUGAGAGGAUGAUCAGCCACACUGGGACUGAGACACGGCCCAGACUACUACGGGAGGCAGCAGUGGGGAAUAUUGGAAAAUGGGCGAAAGCCUGAUCCAGCAAUGCCGCGUGAGUGAUGAAGGCCUUAGGGUUGUAAAGCUCUUUUACCCGGGAUGAUAAUGACAGUACCGGGAGAAUAAGCUCCGGCUAACUCCGUG